rnacentral:misc_RNA from 1 species
GAUGAAGAACGCAGCGAAAUGCGAUAAGUAAUGUGAAUUGCAGAAUUCAGUGAAUCAUCGAAUCUUUGAACGCACCUUGCGCCCUUUGGCCAUUCCGAAGGGCAUGCCUGUUUGAGUAUCAUGAACACCUCAACUCUUCAUGGUUUUCCAUGAUGAGCUUGGACUUUGGGGGUCUUGCUGGCCUGUGGGUCGGCUCCUCUCAAAUGAAUCAGCUUGCCGGUUUUUGGUGGGCAUCACAGGUGUGAUAGCUAUCUACGCUUGUGGUUUUCCACCAGGGUAACCUUCAGCAGUGGAGGUUCACUGGAGCUUACAAAUGUCUCUCCUCUGUGAGGACAGCCCUUUGAAUGUUUGAUCUCAAAUCAGGUAGGACUACCCGCUGAACUUAAGCAUAUCAAUAAGCGGAGGA